AGAGAGCCGGAAGUGAGGGAGCUGGGAGCUGGGUCUCGGGAGGUGCUGUGCGGACCCGGGGUCGACCUCUGCCCAGUUGCCAGUCCCGCUGUCAGCAUGCGGGUCCGAGGAAGAGGCCCCCAGCAGGUCCAGGGCUGCAGCGUCAGCGCGUCGGUGGCUUGGGAGCGGGGUCUUGAAGACUGGUUACUCCACUUAAAGACCCUCUCGGGCCGGAGCCUUGGCGGUCAGCCCAGAGCUGCUUCUCUCUGCCUGGAAACUGGGCCAUGGAGGGCAUUGUCUCUCACGGAUGUCUAAUUUUUUCGUGGUUGCACACCUGGGAUGGCGAUUCUGCUUUAAAAAGCAGAGAGUUAAAUCCUAAAGCAUCUAUUGGAGCAAUUAUAAAACAAAAAGGAGAAACUCCUGGAUUUGUUGCAGAAAAGAUCAACAGCCAUCUGCGUGGGCAACGGGGAAAAGAAGGACUAGUUUGGUAGGCAGCUUAGCUAGGAUUUGCCCGUGAUUAAGCGUAUAGAGUGUCUGCCAGCUGCACUUAUCAGAAAAAACCACAGCGCCCUCCUCCUUCUCAAGAUGGGUGCAGUUCCGAGGUUUGGAGCUUAUUACUCAGGCAAGACAGAACUUAUUACUGCCUAGCAUGGAAUAACGGAAGGAACAUUGGACUUAACAGAGAAAGUACCUAAUCCUUCAGGUGUGACAUAGCGUCUCCGGGUAGUCUCUCAUCAGUAAAAUGAGAAUAUAAAUAUCUGCCUUCACAACAAAGUUGUAUAUUAGGUGUGAAAGGUCUUAAUUCUCUAAGGCGCCAAUCAAAUGAGAUAUCAUUAAUUGUAAUAAUCCUGUUCAUUCACAGCUGCGUAAGAGGAACUAUUGUUGUACUGCUGUUUGCAGAAAAGAAGAUACCUCUGUACUUGUAAAUUAGGGUGUCUCACAUCUUCUGAAUCACUACACAGAAAUCAGUUCCAACAACAGCCAGGAACUCAGACCCUGAACUUACCUCUCCUCAUAUCAUUUUGUAUGUUUAAGAUAUGUAUGAAUCUAGAAUUUGUAAAUUAAGGGCUGCCUGCUUAGUAAAAUCAUCUUGAAACUGAUUUAUCUUUUUAUAUUACUUCCAACUUCCAGUCUUAUUAAGAAUCAUUGCCUUCCUUUGGAACUGCCUUCAAACUUCAAAUUUUCUCUGUCCUUGAAAACCUCUUUUAAUCUCUACUCUGAAUACUCUGUACUUGAAGAGAGGUUGCUUGAACUAGUCAUCUUACACUUACAUGCUUUCAUUUUACUUUUUAUUUAUUUCUUUUUUUUUUUUUUUUUUCUUUGAGACAGUCUAGCUCUGUCGCCCAGGCUGGAAUGCAGUGGCACAAUCUCAACUCACUGCAACCUCCGCCUCCUGGGUUCAAGCUAUUCUCCUGCCUCAGCCUCCUGAGUAGCUGGGGCUACAGGCUAUUUUACUUUUUUAAAAAAGUAAUACUUAGAAAAAUUACCUGUCAGCGUUUUUGCUGAGAAAAUUAUCUUCACACCAAAACUUUUACUUGAGGGUUUAUAGCAGUUCUAUUCAUAACUGUCAAGCGCAGAAACAAAAUGUUCUUUAACGGGUGAACUGGUAAACAACCUGUGUUGCAUUCAUACAGUGAGAUAGUAAUUAGCAAUAAAAAGGAAUGAAUUACUGAUACCUGUCAACAAUGACAUUCUGGAAAAGGCAAAACUAUAGGGACAGAAAACAAAUCAGUAGUUACCAGUUGUGACUAGCGGGAAGGGAAUUGAUGACAAAAGAGCAUCAGAAGGCUUGUGGGGGUGAUGGAGCUAUUUUACAUCUUGCUUUUGGUGGUAGUGGUUACACAACUGCAUGUGUGUGCCAGCAGAACUGCACACUAACAUGGGUUAAUUUACUCUGGGAUAUCAAUAAAUCUGACUUAAGCAUGAGUAAAAUGGAAUAAAAAUUCUCAAAAGAUCAGUGUGAACAUCAAAACAGUUUAUGAAUAGUUAUGAAGUAUGGGCCACACACCAGCAGCAUUGGUGUCACAUCAGUGUUACUGUGAAAAUCAAAGCGUUUAUGAAGUGUGGGCCACAGACCAGCAGCAUCAGUGUCACUUGGGAGCUUGUCAGAAAUAAUCUCAGGCCUGCCCAAGCCCACUAAGUAAGAAUUGCACUUAUACAAGAACCCUGGAUGAGCAUUUCAUAAAGUUUGAAAAGCACAGCUAGUAUGAAGCAAACCACUCGAAGUGCAACCUGUUACCUGUCUGCAAUGAGUCAGACAUUGAGAGGAAGGAUUUAGAAACUUUAUAGCAAUUUGAUAAAGUAAUUUUGUUAUAUCUAAUAAUAAAACUCAGAGCUUGUCUUUUUAAUUUCAAUUUUCUAGUAUUGCAUUUUUACUGUAUUUUACGACACUAUGUCUGCAAGGAAUCGAGAUAACACCAUGAAGAUAAAAGGUGUAAUUAACACUAGCAACUUCCUGCAUAAGAGAAGAAACCUUUACAUGGACAUUUACACAUCUGGACGAAAGAAGGCACCCCUGCUUAAUUCUACUGGCAAUUCCCAAAGACCAGUGGUUCCUAGAGGGCAGUAGUAGAAACCCAGAAUUCACACUUCCUUAAUUCAUUUCCUUGGUCAGAACAGAAGUCUAGGGUUCAGCCCAAUUUAGCUACUUCUAUUGUCCCCAACUUCUGGCCUUCUAAUGUACUACCAUUUUCCACUGGAAUAACCUUCAGACUUGACCAGUUUCAGUCCUUGAAGACCUCUUUCAGCACCUACUUUGGAAUCUUUUCAUAAUCAUUCUGGAUUUGGCUAGUUUUAGUUGAUAAACACAUUUCUUCUUUCUAUCCACUGAAUCACUUACUUAUUGUGUAGUGCUAAUAAGACCAAAGAAUCUGCCUCUCCACAAGGAACAAUUCUAUUUCAAAAUCCUUCAAGAAUAUUCAGAAAGGAAAAAAAGAUCCUGGUCAUUGCUCCCUCAAAUUUGAGUAAUCACAGCUUAGGCUCUGUAAGAGAAUUUGAUUGGUUCAGUGUAAAGCCAUAACCAUUACUGGAAGGAUAAUUUUUUUUCAUUGUACUUUAAGUUCUGGGAUACAUGUGCAGAAUGUGCAGGUUUGUUACAUAGGUAUAAAUGUGCCAUGGUGGUUUGCUGCACCCAUCAACCCAUCACCUACAUUAGGUAUGUCUCCUAAUGCUAUCCCUCCCCUCCCCACUCCCUCCCCUCCCCACCCCCAACAGGCCCCGGCAUGUGAUGUUCUCCUCCCUGUGUCCAUGUGUUCUCAUUGUUCAACUCCCACUUAUGACUGAGAACAUGCGGUGUUUGGUUUUCUGUUCCUGUGUUAGUUUGCUGAGAAUGAUGGCUUUCAGCAUCAUCCAUGUCACUACAAAGGACAUGAACUCAUCCUUUUUUAUGGCUGCAUACUAUUCCAUGGUAUAUAUGUGCCACAUUUUCUUUAUCCAUUCUAUCACUGAUGGGCAUUUGGGUUGGGUCCAAGUCUUUGCUGUUGUGAAUAGUGGUGCAAUAAACGUGCAUGUGAAUGAUUUAUAAUCCUUUGGAUAUAUACACCCAGUAAUGGGAUUGCUGGGUCAAAUGGUAUUUCUGGUUCUAGAUCCUUGAGGAAUCACCACACUGUCUUCCACAACGGUUGAACUAAUUUACAUUCCCACCACCAGUGUAAAAGCGUUCCUAUUUCUCCACAUCCUCUCCAGCAUCUGUUGUUUCCUGACUUUUUAAUGUUCACCAAUCUGAGUGGUGUGAGAUGGUAUCUCAUUGUGGUUUUGAUUUGCAUUUCUCUAAUGAACAGUGAUGAUGAGAUUUUCUUCGUAUGUUUCUUGGUUGCAUAAAUGUCUUCUUUUGAGAAGUAUCUAUUCAUAUCCUUUGCCCAGUUUUUGAUGGGGUUGUUUGUUUUUUUCUUGUAGAUUUGUUUAAGUUCCUUGUAGAUUCUGGAUAUUAGCCCUUUGUCAGAUGGAUAGAUUGUAAAAAUUUUCUCCCAUUCUGUAUGUUGCCUGGUC
rnacentral:lncRNA from 10 species